UAGGGAAUAUUGGGCAAUGGGCGGAAGCCUGACCCAGCCACGCCGCGUGCAGGAAGACGGCCCUCUGGGUUGUAAACUGCUUUUAACUGGGAAGAAAAGAGGCUUUGCGAAGCAAGUUGACGGUACCAGUUGAAUAAGCCACGGCUAACUACGUGCCAGCAGCCGCGGUAAUACGUAGGCGGCGAGCGUUAUCCGGAUUUAUUGGGUUUAAAGGGAGCGUAGGCGGCUGAUUAAGUCAGCGGUGAAAGGUAGCAGCUUAACUGUUUUACAUGCCGUUGAUACUGGUUAGCUUGAGUUGACAGAAGGCAGAUAGAAUUCCUGAUGUAGCGGUGAAAUGCUUAGAUAUCAGGAGGAAUACCGAUUGCGAAGGCAGUCUGCUGCAGUCACACUGACGCUGAGGCUCGAAGGUGCGGGGAUCAAACAGGAUUAGAUACCCUGGUAGUCCGCACAGUAAACGAUGAUUACUAGAUGUUGGCCAAGCCAGUGUCCAAGGGAAACCGAUAAGUAAUCCACCUGGGGAGUACGCCGGCAACGGUG
rnacentral:rRNA from 1 species